rnacentral:rRNA from 1 species
AGCGAACGUUUGCGGCGGGCCUAACACAUGCAAGUCGAACGGCCUAGCAAUAGUCAGUGGCGCACGGGUGCGUAACACGUAGGUAAUCAACCUCUUGGUUCGGGAUAACGUUCUGAAAGGAACGCUAAUACCGGAUGUGUUCCGAAAGGAAGAAAGACCCGCAAGGGUUGCCGAGAGACGAGCCUGCGGCCCAUCAGCUAGUUGGUGAGGUAAUGGCUCACCAAGGCGAAGACAGGUAGCUGGUCUGAGAGGAUGAUCAGCCACACUGGAACUGAGACACGGUCCAGACUCCUACGGGAGGCAGCAGUGGGGAAUAUUGCGCAAUGGGCGAAAGCCUGACGCAGCCACGCCGCGUGAGCGAUGAAGGACUUCGGUUCGUAAAGCUCUGUGGGGAGAGACGAAGAAAGCCUGUGAAGAGCAGGCCUUGACGGUAUCUCCUUAGCAAGCACCGGCUAACUCCGUGCCAGCCGCCGCCGUAAGAC